AGCAGCCGCGGUAAUUCCAGCUCCAAUAGCGUAUAUUAAAGUUGUUGCAGUUAAAAAGCUCGUAGUUGAAUUUCGGGGUCAGCAAGUUGGUCGUGCCACCGGUAUGCACUGGCUUUGCUGAUUCCUCCUUCUUGUAGAACCGUAAUGCCAUUAAGUUGGUGUUGCGGGGAAACAGGACUGUUACUUUGAAAAAAUUAGAGUGUUUAAAGCAGGCUAAGGCUUGAAUACAUUAGCAUGGAAUAAUGAAAUGGGACGACGAUCCUAUUUUGUUGGUUUCUAGGAUUGACGUAAUGAUUAAUAGGGAUAGUUGGGGGCAUUAGUAUUCAAUUGUCAGAGGUGAAAUUCUUGGAUUUAUUGAAGACUGACUACUGCGAAAGCAUUUGCCAAGGAUGUUUUCAUUAAUCAAGAACGAAAGUUAGGGGAUCGAAGACGAUCAGAUACCGUCGUAGUCUUAACCAUAAACUAUGCCGACUAGGGAUCGGAUGAUGUUAAUUUUAUAAUGACUCA
rnacentral:rRNA from 1 species